ACCGGUACAUAUAUAUGUACAGGAACAGAAAAAUGAAUCUGACUCAGAUUAUUACACUGUAUUUAACUUGGGCUCCAAUCCAGGAAUUCAUAUUCUGAUAGACGGGCUCCAUCUCAUUAAAACUUAAUCACUUCCGGAACAAAUCUGAACGGGGAAGAUUGAAAAAAAGAUGGAACUUUGUUUUUCAUAUUGAGAUCAAUUCUCAUCCAUACAUAUUUUUCUUCUUGUAUGUCCGAUUUACCAUUAAACAUGGUACAGUCCGAUCGCAUCCAAACGCAUCCAACUAGAGUUACGUCAGGUGUAUUGGUGUUGACUACAAUUGAUUAAUAUUCUUACUUUUGCAUAUGUUUGGUUUAUUGGGCAAUAAUUUGAUUAUGUAGAUAAAUCUUAAACCACACAUGUUGACAAUAGUCGUCUUCACUUUAAACCGGGCAUGCAUUCAUCACAACUUUAACCUAAAUUAACUUACUAAGUUAACAUGCAUGGACGGACGUGAAGGUCAAUCCUUGCUUGUAAGCAGUGCAAAUUCUGUAGUACAACCGUCUGAUUGAAUUUUUUUGGGAGAAAAUGGCCAAGUCUAACAUGAGCCUCCGAUGCAUUAGGCAACGUAUUUGCGACAUGGUGACUGAUGACAUGCAUAGCUCUGCUACAUAGUUCUGCUUCAACUCGGUCUCCAACUGCACUGCCAAAAAAUGUUAAUUAGAAUAAUUGGGUGGAUAAGGUUCUUAGCCAUAAAUUUUACAGCUCCAUCCAUGUGAACAGUGUACAUAACAUGAGAGCAUUUUCUGUCAGCGUGCAAAGUCUAUUGCUUGAGAUAUGAGUAGUUACCUCUGUCCAACAAUGAUGCUAGCUCGGGGAAAUCAUUUUUGCCACCUAGAGACAACCAUAGACAGCAAUUUAUGGGCUCACCAAUCAACUGGCCGCCCUUAGAGAAAUAACUGGAAACAUGGAAAACAUACAUAACUUAAAUUGAAAUAACUCUGGGGAGAAAAAAUCAACCGCAUAUUCAUGGUCAAUGUGAAAGGAAAAAUGAAUCUGUUGAAAUCCUUAAAGAAACACAAAACUAUGAAAGAUUCAGGAAGAUCACAGAAUGCGAGAAACACAAUCCACAUAUAAGUAGAACAUAAGAGACAGUCAAGGUUGAAGGCUUAUUCAAAAUGAAUUGAAUUGACUUACAUAAAAACCAAACAAUAAAUUAUGCUCCCCUAAACUAACAUAAUUGUUAUCAAAUUAUAAAAAUCAGUACAAUGGGAAAACAUCAAAACAAAAAUCGAAGAAUGAAAACAACAGACUCUGGUAUGGAAUCAAUAUAUGUACGUGAUGCCCUGGCAAGCCACAUGUACGCCUAGAUCCAGAACACUACGGGCUGACUACACCUGUGAUGGGAAGCUUGGAAUAAUGUAGUGAGCGCACGUGCCUUUUCAUUGGCAUUUCAUGUCGAACGGCCAUGCAAUGAUGGCGUUCCAGCAAAGAAGUAGCAGAGUGAUAAACUCGCCAUCACGACGGUGGCCAACAGCGAUGGCGGUCAAGCGAAUAUUGGAUUGAGUGUAACUUGCACGGAUUAGUAACAUCAUAGAGUUAUACAUGCAGCUAAGCCAACAUAGUGUCAUAUAAUGCAACUAAACCAACAGACUACAAUGACGACUCAUAGUACCAUGUUUGUGUUGGCAAAUCACCUCCUCCAUUAAUUGGGGUUUAUUGCAUCAUCAUGUCGCACACCACUGUUUUAAACGUUAUACUGCAAAAUAAGGAAAAAAGUAUAACUUGAAUCUGACAAUUUAAGGAAUACACAAAGAUUAACUGGUAAAAGAACACAAAAUUCUCAAGAUUUGUACCACUUGGUUAGUGUCGAGGGAAGCUGCUGCCAAAUCCACCAAUAUUAAUUUGAGAGAAGAGAGUAAAAACAAUAAUCCACUCAUUAUAUUUGCACUAUAUAAGAAAUAUAUUUGAUCUAGCCAAUGGAACAAUUAUAGCAACAGACCAGAAACAACGUUGGCAUGGAGUGGGAGAAUCUUGACCAGCGCUGAUGGGUAUAAUUUGUCUGCUCUGACCUGAUGUCCAUGGGCCAUCCAAAAAUUGUACGUGGUAAGGGAAAGGAUCCAAUCCAUGGUGAGCACAACAAUAUGAGAUGACAGGAUAGAAGAAAAUUUGAAUCCAAAAGAAAAAGGCAUGGUUAAUUCAAUCAUAGACCUGCAAAAAAAUCAGAAUAAAUAGUAUGAAAAAAUGAAUCUGAUACAGGUGAGGAACAUUAUUUUGAUGCAAAAAGCUCAUUAAGCAAAUGGAAUCCAUGCCUUCUGUGAGAGAGACGACCAUUUGUUCUCCAUCGGGGCAAAGAGUGAUAAUCGAGAGGAAGAGCCUAUGGAUUAUGGGUAUAGUUGGUGUGCUCUGACCUGAUCUCCAUGAGGUAACCAAAAAACUAUACCUGAUAGGAUUCUGGAGCAAAUCUCUGGAGAGCAGAAACUAAGAGAAUACACGAUACAGAAAAGAUUGAAUGUGAAUCAAAAGAAAAAGUCAAGGUCAAUGCUACUGUAAGCCUGCAAGAAAACAAAUUCUGUGAAAAUACGAUUCUGAUGCACAUGAGUAAAAUUAUUUGAUCCAAAAAGCUUCUCGACCACAUUGAAUCCAUGCCUUCUGUUUGAUAGAGCAGAUCCAAUUGUUUUCCAUUGCUAGCGGGGGAGGAUAAUCAAGAGGAAGAGAGAAGGCAACCUGACUAUUGGAGAUAAUCCAUUUAUUUUCCAUUGGGGGGUGGGAUCGAGAGGAAGACAUCAUGGAUGGAUUUCUGUUCCAGUUGGGGAGAGAGAGAUAAGGGGGAUAUGGUGGGAGGGGAGAGGAGAAAGAUAUUCUGUUCCAGUUAGGGAGAGAGAGAUAAGGGAGAGAUCGUGGGAGGGGAGACGAGGAAGAUA
rnacentral:lncRNA from 1 species